rnacentral:lncRNA from 1 species
ACUGGAAUGGUAGAGAUGUGUAGUAAACUAUUGGAGAACUGUUCUCCAUUUUCCUUAGCCUGUUCAUUUUUUAUCAUUCUGGCUAAUGGUCAGCCAAACUCAAAAAGCAAAGGUGCUCAGAUGAAUGGAGUAAUACAAGGUCUUUCCAUUUGUCAGCAUCUUUAUGACAUUGAAGUGUUUCAAACUGGAAACAACAUUACAGGUUAUGAAACAAGCAGAGAGUGGCAUCUUUUGUUAAAAAGAAUGUUCUUGGAAACUCCUGCUAAGCACCUAAGAAGACUAAAGAUAUGCAAACGAUGACAAACGCAGGAAUAGAAAGUGUGUUGACAAGCAAUCCUAGAAAUAGCCUGCAUAUGGUGCGGGAUUUGCAAACAAAAAGGAGAGGGAUGUCUAUGAUUGGCGGGGAAAUAGGGGUCCCCUGGAGGACCGUCUAUCACUUAGUAAUAGAUUAGAGUCCUAGGUUCCUUGUCAGGUGCUACUGCUCCAAACAGGCUACUAGGCUUCCUCCCACCAAUCCAUGAUCCUCUCCCAUUUCCCCCUAACACCUCCUUCAGUGGGGCCUUAAUAGGGUCACAGGCCAGCUUUCAGCGUCAGGCUUUUCCUUGCUAGCAGGCCUGUCUACCUCGAGGGUAGUCACACUAGUCAGUACCCUGUUUAGCAUGGUAGCCUGGCAAAUGUGCCUAACUUCCUAGAGCAACUCAAGAUCAGUGGCACUUUACAGGGAAAUUUACAAACAUUUGGCAUCAGCAAAAAAUAAAGACUUAUUUUAAAGCCACAGAGACUUGAAGGAUGUCUACAGAAUCUGACCUUGAUUAUUCAAAAUGAUAUUAAUUUUUUUUUGUUUGUUUGCUUUAGUUUCCAACUUGAAAGCCAUUACAAUUUAUUAAUGUUUUGCCUCAUGAACUUUUGGUCAGUAUUGUAU